AUACGUAGGGGGCGAGCGUUGUCCGGAAUGAUUGGGCGUAAAGGGCGCGUAGGCGGCUUUGCAAGUCAGUAGUGGAAGUCCAUUUUUCAAGGAUGGAAGUGCUACAGAAACUGCGGAGCUUGAGUGCAGGAGAGGUUAUCGGAAUUCCCGGUGUAGCGGUGAAAUGCGUAGAGAUCGGGAGGAACACCAGUGGCGAAGGCGGGUACCUGGACUGGAACUGACGCUCAUGCACGAAAGCGUGUGUAGAAAACAGGAUUAGAUACCCUGGUAGGCCACGCCGUAAACGAUGAGUGCUAGGUGUUGGGGGUCAAACCGCGGUGCCGCAGCUAACGCAUUAAGCACUCCGCCUGGGGAGGACGUACGCAAGUAUGAAGCUCAAAUGAAUUGACGGGG
rnacentral:rRNA from 1 species